GAUGAACGCUGGCGGCGUGCCUAAUACAUGCAAGUCGAGCGAAGCGGGGACGGGUGCGUACCACGUGGAUAACCUCCUAUAAGACUGGGAUCACUUCGGGAAACCGGCGCUAAACCGGAUACUUAUAGAGUGAUCUGCGCUGCAUUAGCUAGUUGGUUAGGUAACGGCUUACCAAGGAAACGAUGCAUAGCCGACCUGAGAGGGUGAUCGGCGACAGUGUAACGGAGACACGUGCCAGACUCCUACGGGAGGCAGCAGGAGAGAAUCUUCCGCAAUGGGCGAAGGGCUGACGGGGCAAAGCGGCGUGAGUGAUGAGGGUCUUCGGAGCGUAAAACUCUGUGAUUAGGGAAGCGGUACCUAAUCAGAAAGCCACGGCAAACUACGGGCCAGCAGCCGCGGUAAUAC
rnacentral:rRNA from 1 species